rnacentral:tRNA from 1 species
ACCUGGGUGGCUCAGUUGGUUGAGCGUCUGACUUCGGUUCAGGUCAUGAUCUCAGUUUGUGAGUUCAAGCCCCGCAUCGGGCU